UAACUUUCAACAACGGAUCUCUUGGCUCUCGCAUCGAUGAAGAACGCAGCGAAAUGCGAUAUGUAAUGUGAAUUGCAGAAUUCAGUGAAUCAUCGAAUCUUUGAACGCACCUUGCGCCCCUUGGCAUUCCGAGGGGCACACCCGUUUG
rnacentral:rRNA from 2 species